ACCAGCACUCAGGCGCUGCACAGGGUACCAUCUACAUCGGCUGCCCUCCUGGCAACCGCCUGGCGUUUGACAUCACCACCACCCUGGAGCAGUGUGCCCGCAAUAAGGGCUACUUCAACUGCCCCAACCCCGACCCCCUCAUGCUUCUACUACGAAGACUUGUUCUAUCCCUUCUUCUUGAUCCAGGACAUCAGUCUCAUCCCCUCUUGUCCUGCUUUUGUUUACUGAAACAAAAACAAAACAUUUGUAUACAUGAAUUGCUGUUAAAGCCCAUGGCUUGAUAUCAUACAGUCUCUAUUUAUUACACUACAGCUAGGUGGAGGAGCUUACUCGAAAGAUCACAUCCACCUCUACACUCCAGAGGUGCUGCUGAUAUACAACAGCCUCAACUAUAGGUGAUGAAGUUGCACUGGAAAACACACAGGAGGACCAAAAUGUAUCAUUUUAGUAUAUUAGAACAAGGUUGGCGUGAUAUACGCUACCAAUAGAGAUGCAUAUUUGUUGGACUCCCCCUGGAAAGUCCCCCUGGUUUCUCAGUCUAUCCCAGAGGACACUGGUUUGGAUGUUUGAAGACAUGGACAACAAUGUCAACGUCACUGAGGAAGGAUUUAUGGUCAUGCAUGGCACUACAAACAAGAUUUGAUAACCCUCCAUAUAAUCAGUAUACUAAAAAGAUACUCUUCCCAUUCUUUCACCCUCUUGUCUGUAAUGCUGUGAAUUCAUCUGAGCAUACUAAGGUGCAUCUUUAUGAGUCUUGGCAUAGUUUCUACCCUGGUCCUGUUUGUGCUGUAUAGCCUGAACUCAUGUGGUCUUUGUCAAUACCAAACCUUGAGUUGGCUAUACAGCACUAACAGGCUACAUACUGGUCUACCUGGGGAUGUGUGUUGCGGUGCAGUUGGUGUUCUGCGUUACAUGUGUAUAGGGUUAACUGUUAAGUGCCCUGUGUUCCUCUUUAGGGGUAUACAUUUGAGUACGUACUGUGACUAUGCAUUGCGGUUUAUACUCCACAUGCAUGGAUUCCUGUUGGACCCCACCAGAGGCCUGUUCUACAUGCUGGUGUGGUCCCUGGCGUUUUCAAAAUGGUUAAAUUAAUAAAUUAAACGGUACCCUAUUCAGUGCACGACUUGCUCUAGUCAAAAGUAGUGCACUAAAUAGGAUGCCAUUUGGGAUACAACCAUGGACUCAAAUAGAAUAUAACCACAAAUCAUGACAUAUCUCCCCUUUCAGUACUGUUGUCAAAGUAUUACAUUUGGUUGACCUGUUGUUUCCUUCCUCCAGAUGACCCUGGCCACCAUGACCAUAGUUGGAAUCCUCUUCUGCUUCAUUGUGUAUAACUGCUGUGUUCCAGGCUUGAAUAACCUGUUUAAGGCCUUAUAUCUACUAAUUGAAAGGAAAGAUCACAGCCCUGUAGUUCACCAUUAACUUUAUUAAAACAGACAGGCAGUAUUAACAUGGAAUUUUUAUUUCAGAAUAGGAGCAGUUCUUCCUUCCAAGGUCAAAUGUACAGAACAAAUCAAAUUCAACAUUAAGUUUUUUUAAACGAUACACUCACUGGUACAAAAUAUUGCCCGUAAUAUUAUCACUUAAGUUAAAGGAAAACGCUUGUCGGUCUCAUACAUUUUGUUUCUGAUUCAUACAGGGGACUUGUAGAAGAUGUGAAUGCAAUAUACACUAUGCAUGGACACAGAGCAUUACAGAUUUGGGAGGGGUCAG